rnacentral:tRNA from 2 species
GGUCCCGUAGCUCAACGGAUAGAGCAGCGCGCUUCGAACGCGAAGGUUGCGGGUUCAAGUCCUGCCGGGACCGCCA